rnacentral:rRNA from 1 species
AUUGAACGCUGGCGGCAGGCCUAACACAUGCAAGUCGAGCGGAUGAAGGGAGCUUGCUCCUGGAUUCAGCGGCGGACGGGUGAGUAAUGCCUAGGAAUCUGCCUGGUAGUGGGGGAUAACGUCCGGAAACGGGCGCUAAUACCGCAUACGUCCUGAGGGAGAAAGUGGGGGAUCUUCGGACCUCACGCUAUCAGAUGAGCCUAGGUCGGAUUAGCUAGUUGGUGGGGUAAAGGCCUACCAAGGCGACGAUCCGUAACUGGUCUGAGAGGAUGAUCAGUCAAACUGGACCUGAGACACGGUCCAGACGCCUACGGGAGGAAGCAGUGGGAAAUAUUGGACAAUGGGCGAAAGCCUGAUCCAGCCAUGCCGCGUGUGUGAAGAAGGUCUUCGGAUUGUAAAGCACUUUAAGUUGGGAGGAAGGGCAGUAAGUUAAUACCUUGCUGUUUUGACGUUACCAACAGAAUAAGCACCGGCUAACUUCGU